rnacentral:pre_miRNA from 1 species
AGCAUGAUUGCUGGAUCAUAUGGAAAGCCUAUGUUUAGCUUUGUAAGAAACUGCCAAACUGUCUUCCAAAGUGGCUGUUCCAUUUGGGAUUCCCACCAGCAAU